UCUCGUCUUCCUUCACCAAACCCUCACAAUCAGUCGCUCUCUUCUUCAUCUUGAAGUCUAAGCCAAUCUAUACCUCAAUAUGUCCCAUUCUUCCUCUAUUAACCUACUUCAUUACCAUUACCUCCCUCCUUGUCUAAAUCACUCUUCCUUCCGGUUUUGCCUCACUGCUCCAUCUUCAUCUCGGUGGUCUAGUCCCGACGACGACAUCUGCUCCAUCAUGGCCAUGCCCACCACAACUCUCCCUGGCUCUAUGUCUCCCUUCAAUGUCCCUCAUAGUGUUGUGAGUUUUUAUUUUGUUCCAUUCUUAGUCAGAUCUGUUGGUUAUAAUAAUUAGUGGUAUAACCGUUCCUUCUUCGUCUAUUCUUUCACUUCUUAUUUUGAAGGGUAGAGGUAUCAGCAAUGAUCUAUGUUACACAUUUUGUUACUAAUUUUAAAAUAAAAAUGUGUCGAUAGUUCGACUAUUUAGGGUUAACACUGAAUUAAAAAGGAACCGUUUAGUGUUUUGUAGGGAUUCAUUUUACGAUCGACUUGGACUCCUUUGCUCCUUUCCGAGGAAUUUACAUUUCUCGGAGACGGAGGAUUAUUUGUUUCUUUGCUUUUUAGUUCGGUGGCACAGCCCAAUUCAAUAGCGUAUCAAGACGUUUUUGACGGAUUCUAAACAUGUCAGGAGGUUGUGGACAUACAAUAGACAAGUUAUCAGAUUCAGAGGAUGAACGAUCUAGAAUUGGGAGUCCGGCAAAGAAAGUCAUAAGCUGUUCCAUUGAAGAUGUUAGGGACGAGAAUGAUGAGAAGAUUGUUCUUAAAUUGCGCCAAGAGCUUCUUAACAAACAUUCUUUGCCUCCAAGGCAUGAUGAUUAUCAUAUGCUUUUGAGGUUUCUGAAAACAAUGGAUUUCAACAUCGACAAAACCGUCACUGCAUGGGAAGAAAUGCUCAAAUGGAGGAAUGAAUUUGGAGCAGAUCAAAUUAUACAGGAUUUCAAUUUCAAUGAGUUGGACCAAGUCACAAUGUACUAUCCUCAAGGGUACCAUGGAGUUGAUAAAAAUGGUAGACCCAUCUAUAUCGAGAGACUAGGAAAAGCUCACCCCGGUAAGCUUAUGGAUGUUACAACCAUUGACCGGUACUUGAAGUACCAUGUCCAAGAAUUCGAAAAGGCUCUUCAACAGAAGCUCCCUGCCUGUUCUAUUGCAGCAAAGCGACGUGUCACUACUACGACUACAAUACUUGAUGCUGAUGGCCUGGGUAUGAAGAACUUUAGUCCUGCAGCGGCAAAUCUCCUGUCCUCUAUUGCUAAAGUAGAUUGUAGUUAUUACCCUGAGACUUUGCAUAGAAUGUUCAUUGUCAAUGCAGGAUUUGGAUUCAGGAGUUUGAUUUGGCCUGCCGCACAAAAAUUUCUUGAUCCUGUGACUAUUGCAAAGAUACAAGUUUUGGAGCCAAAGUCCUUGUCAAAGUUACUUGAAACAAUUGAUUCCAGUCAACUUCCAGAUUUCUUGGGAGGCGUAUGCACAUGUGCUAACGAAGGAGGGUGCUUGAGGUCUAACAAAGGACCAUGGAAUGAUCCUGAAAUAGCCGAGCUAGUACAUCACAUGGAAGUGAAUCCCAUACCACAAACUACAAAAGCUCCUCUUCAUGUAAGAGAUCAUGAUUCACAGGAACCGGCUCAAGGAGAAUGGUCUCAACCCCAAUUACUUAACACGAGCUCUGAAAACUCUUCUUCAACAUAUACAUCAAGAAGAGAAGAUAUCACGGUUUGGUGUUCUUAGAGAGAAAACCAAAGGCGUGACAUCGUUCACUUGGUGACAAUACUAAUAGCCUUUCCACUAAAGCUAUAUUUUGAUCUCUUUAGUUUCUUAUUGUUCGGAUACUGGCAAAGACAUAACCGUGUCCAUGUCUCAGAUUCAUCCAUAAACAAAGAGAUUGUUCUUCAGUGUUUGGAUCGUCUUAAGAAGCUGGAGAAAGAAUGCACAGAGAUUAGUAGAAUCCCUGUAAAGACCCCGAACGAAAAUGAGAAGCUAUUAACUGGAACUCUCGAGAGGAUCAAGUCUCUAGAACUCGACCUCGACAAAACCCAAUCAGUAUUACAUUUAACGUUAGCAAAACAACUUCAGAUCACAGAACAGCUCGACUCUCAUUACGAAGAACAAAGAAAGCGAUGCUGCACCUGAAGCUUUGGGACAUAACCUUACGGAAGCCUAUUGUUACUAUAUUUAUUUACAGAAAUUGAGAGAAUGAAAAAAGGGCAAUUGUCAAUAAUAGCACCUUUUGAAGUU